GUGUCAGCCGCCGUGGUAAUACGUAGGGGGCAAGCGUUGUCCGGAUUUACUGGGCGUAAAGAGCGUGUAGGCGGCCAAACAGGUCCGUUGUGAAAACUGGAGGCUUAACCUCCAGACGUCGACGGAAACCGUGUGGCUAGAGUCCGGAAGAGGAGAGUGGAAUUCCUGGUGUAGCGGUGAAAUGCGCAGAUAUCAGGAAGAACACCAAUGGCGAAGGCAGCUCUCUGGGACGGUACUGACGCUGAGACGCGAAAGCGUGGGGAGCGAACAGGAUUAGAUACCCUAGUAGUCC
rnacentral:rRNA from 1 species